rnacentral:lncRNA from 1 species
AGAUGCACAUGAUGAAGAUUCUGUUUCUGCUUUUUCCUCCUAUAGAUGAUACCAAUACGGGGACCUCUCACCAACAAACAGAAAACUAAGGGAAGACGUAUCAGGAGCCCUCCCUCCGUGCCGGCUGCAGGAGUGUCUAUGAAAACCAUCAGGAGGACAGGGAGGGGCAGGGGUGAGACGGGCCCCAGGAUCCUGACUCUCAGCUGUUCCAAAGUGCUUCAGCACCUUGCUCCUCUCCCUGAAGAAUCUGACCACCGCCACCACCAUCUGCAAAAAUCUCCUAAGUGGCUCUAAUCAAGUCUGAUCUGUCCACCUAAUUACCUAGAUACCUACUGGGAAGCAUUUACAUUUAUUUUCUUGAUUUUUUUUCUGUUCCUUUUCAUAUAUUAAAAUGUCAGAAAUAGCAACCCCAAAGGGUGCUUAAUAAAUACCGGAUGAGUUUCUCUUGAAAUCUUUUUAAGACCUCUGAUAACUUGCACUUCCCUUGGUUUAAUUUUUUAUUUUUUAGAUACUAGGGAUUAGUAUUUAAUUUAGAGACAA